rnacentral:rRNA from 1 species
CUUAGGCGUGUGACUGCGUACCUUUUGUAUAAUGGGUCAGCGACUUAUAUUCUGUAGCAAGGUUAACCGAAUAGGGGAGCCGAAGGGAAACCGAGUCUUAACUGGGCGUUAAGUUGCAGGGUAUAGACCCGAAACCCGGUGAUCUAGCCAUGGGCAGGUUGAAGGUUGGGUAACACUAACUGGAGGACCGAACCGACUAAUGUUGAAAAAUUAGCGGAUGACUUGUGGCUGGGGGUGAAAGGCCAAUCAAACCGGGAGAUAGCUGGUUCUCCCCGAAAGCUAUUUAGGUAGCGCCUCGUGAAUUCAUCUCCGGGGGUAGAGCACUGUUUCGGCAAGGGGGUCAUCCCGACUUACCAACCCGAUGCAAACUGCGAAUACCGGAGAAUGUUAUCACGGGAGACACACGGCGGGUGCUAACGUCCGUCGUGAAGAGGGAAACAACCCAGACCGCCAGCUAAGGUCCCAAAGUCAUGGUUAAGUGGGAAACGAUGUGGGAAGGCCCAGACAGCCAGGAUGUUGGCUUAGAAGCAGCCAUCAUUUAAAGAAAGCGUAAUAGCUCACUGGUCGAGUCGGCCUGCGCGGAAGAUGUAACGGGGCUAAACCAUGCACCGAAGCUGCGGCAGCGACGCUUAUGCGUUGUUGGGUAGGGGAGCGUUCUGUAAGCCUGCGAAGGUG